UAGGGAAUAUUGGACAAUGGGGGCAACCCUGAUCCAGCCAUGCCGCGUGAGUGAUGAAGGCCUUCGGGUUGUAAAGCUCUUUUGGCGGGGACGAUGAUGACGGUACCCGCAGAAUAAGCCCCGGCUAACUUCGUGCCAGCAGCCGCGGUAAGACGAAGGGGGCUAGCGUUGUUCGGAAUUACUGGGCGUAAAGCGAGUGUAGGUGGUUGUCAUAGUCAGGUGUGAAAGCCUUGAGCUCAACUCAAGAAAUGCACUUGAUACUGGGCGACUAGAGGACCGGAGAGGAUAGUGGAAUUCCCAGUGUAGUGGUGAAAUACGUAGAGAUUGGGAAGAACACCAGUGGCGAAGGCGGCUAUCUGGACGGUUUCUGACACUAAGACUCGAAAGCGUGGGGAGCAAACAGGAUUAGAUACCCCAGUAGUCCCUGAGCGGGCUGGCAAGGCGCAU
rnacentral:rRNA from 1 species